ACAACGAAGAGUUUGAUCCUGGCUCAGGAUGAACGCUAGCGACAGGCUUAACACAUGCAAGUCGAGGGGCAGCGGGGGAGUAGCAAUACUCCCGCCGGCGACCGGCGCACGGGUGAGUAACACGUAUGAAAC
rnacentral:rRNA from 1 species